CUCGUGGGGGUGACGGCCGUCAGCAGCUCUUGCUCUAGCCAAACACGCGCAAACACCGCCUUUUAAGAUUGUACUGAUUCACUGAUUACUUACAGAUGGGGAACAGUGGCCUAAAACAUCAAAAAAAAUCUUUAAGAAAAUUAACAUGAAAUCGUAUAUAAUACAACCUUUAAAGGACAACCCACCGGUUAAAGCCAAUUAAACACCAGAGGGUCUGCAUGGGGGGCAAGGGGAUAAGACACCAAGAUCACCCGGAAUCUCCUGGAGAGGGGGCCAUGGGGAUGGCCUUAGAUGAUGCGUACAAAGGCAUUUUCCUGACCCGGAAAGACUGGAAUAGCCGCAUGUAGAUGAAAAACAGGAAAGCUUACUGCGUUCAUUCCCAAACCAGGAAGUACUGGGAAUACGCUCACCGGAGCACAGAAACCGACGAGCUAUGGACACAGGCGAAAAGUGCGACAGAUAAGCAACCGCCGUUUCCGCGGGGACGCCCUGGUUCCGAUCCCGUUAACCCUCAGUCAGGUCACGGCCUCAGCGCACAGCCCGGGUCUUCACCACCGACUGCCACAGGGGCGCAGAGACGACCCCCGUUUACAGACGAGAAAACAGGCGACCAACACGGGAGGCGCCUACAGGGUCACGGCCCCGGGGGCGACCCUGCCAGCUCAGGGCCGAGGCGGGGGAGGGGGGGGCCGGGCACAGCACUGCAGCAGCACCCGGAACAAUGCAGCGUCCUCCUCCUCCCCUCCGUCCUCCUCCUCCCCUCCGGCUCCACGUGCCCCUGGGCCCAGUACACGGCCCCGCCCAGGAGGGUGCACGCCCCUAACACACCCUGGCCUCUGCGGGUCACGGUGGCAGAGGACGGGAGCGGAGCCUGCAGGAGAGCCCUACCUCGGAGCGGGGCAGCCACGGAGCAGAGCCCCAGAGGCCCAGCGACCGUGCACCAGGGGGACACGCUAACCGGCUCCAGCUCUCGGCUUCAGGAAAAUCCCAUCGAGUGAGUCGGGUCUGGGCUGCGGAGCGGGACCUCAGGACGGGCCUCCAACCCACGUGAGCGCGGCGUCGAGCAUUUUCCAUGAGCUUUGCACUCAGAGGCGCAGGAGCUGAGGCGUGGUGGCUCGGGACCCUCGAGGAACCGGAAGCGUUGGGGACAACGCACCCGGGCCAGCCUGCACCCCGCGGGCCUGCACAGUGGGGCCUCCAUGGCCCGACAGCCAUGGGAGCCGCGCACACGGCAGGUGCCUGGCCCAAACACCACCAACCCCCCCCAAGGCGCAAAACCACCCAAGGAGUGCUGAACGGCGAAGUUACUGCCUACAUUGUUUCGUUGAAAUAACUAAAGUUAUUUGAAAUUAUUCAAACAAUUGAAAUUACCUCAUUUAUGGAUUUACGACGAUUAAAGUUAAUGCUCACAAAUUACUCCGAUUAGGACUUUAAUCACUGCAGUAAAAUAACCGUUCCGAAGCGCCGUUUGCCGAGGUUCCCCGUAUCUGCACCAUUUCCCACGUUUUAGGGAAAGAAGAGGGAGGACCGUUCCCACGCUCCAAUCCGUCCCUCGGGGCGUUGAGGGCUGCGGGACAAGCUCCGCUUUAUAUCUGCGCAAGGCUAGGUCAGCAGCGGGGACCCGAUCGUGCUUCCAGAGGGGGACUCCUGUGAGCAGGCCUGACGCGCGGCUCCACCAACAUCCCUGUGCCCGAAGCGUCCCGGGCAACAGUCACAGGCGGGAGCGGGACCCUCCACACUCAGCAUCCAGGCCAAGGCUCUGCAACGUUGCGACGUUUCGACCUUGGCGUUGCGACCUCGGCGCUUGGGGAGCAGAUUCCCUUUAGGCCCGUCGCACAUCUGGACACAUCUGUCCAGCGCUGAGCGAUGCUGUGCGCCCGCCUUCUCCCGCCAACGCCCCCAGGGACCCUGCACACCGAGGAAGGAACCACAGACAUGGCCGGGAGCGUCGGCGGCGGGCCUGGGUGCGCACGGACUUUACACCCCAGGGGACAUCCA
ensembl:lncRNA